UUUUUAAUUUUUUUUGGCGCCUCGUGACAAACAUAAUGCACGUGCGCGAUACAUAUUAACCCCGUUAUCUUAUUUUUGACAUUUGCGAUAUGUUUUAGCUCGCUGCUCAUUACUCGCGCGUCUAGGGGCGGCAUUGUGGCGUGAAAAGCGCGUUCUCAAAGGGGUGGAAAAUACGUGUUGCUGCGGUAUAGAGGGAGGGUUGGAAACCGUGGUAAACUCGUCUCCGUAGUUGAGCGGGAGAGUAAGUAGAAUGGGGCAUUAUGCAUUAUUAGGCAAGGGGUGUAAUGGUAGUAAGAAUGUACAAUCAUCUUUGUUGUGGACCUGGUAGUGGCAAGCAUAAGGGACGAAGCCGGGUGUAACAUGUC
rnacentral:misc_RNA from 1 species